AGAUGAGAAAUUGUUAAAUCUCUUGAUGUUGAAGAUGGUUAUCUCCCGUCAAAGCGUUCGGAUUCUUGGUUAAAGGUGAAGUGAAAUUAUGUCGAAGGUUUAAAUGAUUUCUUGGGCUUGGUUCCUAUUGGUGCUUGGUACGGGAAUGGAAGGAAUGCUGGCUGGUACAGUCCAUUUCUCAUGGCUUGCUAUGAUCCCGACACUAAUGUCC